CCUCCUGUUGGGGAGUAGCUUCCGGCGUUCGUCGUCGGGAUCGCGUCAACAUACUCGCGCUUUGGCGCGUGGCGCGAUCAGCGGAACCACCGCCUAGCGAGACCAGCGUGUCCUGACGCCGCGACCGGCCGGUGCAGGACCGCU
rnacentral:sRNA from 2 species